AUGAAGAGGGAGCCUUCCAGACAGACUCAAAAGUAGCAUUAUGUAUGCCGCAGGCCUUUGGAGAGGAAGUUGGUAUUCCUGACACUUUCUUUCCAUUAAAUACUAUCACACCGCCCACUGCCACUGUGAUUCCGGGUGAACAAUCACCCCAUGUGUCUUCCAAAACCCAAUCCCAAGCCAGUGAUGUAGAAUCCUUUAUUGCAUCCCAAUGCAACAAACCUCUUGAGACAACUCUGCCAUCUCUGGUGGAAAUAGCAAUGGGCUCGAGCGAAGAAUAUGCAAGAUUUAAGAAAGAGGAAUGCAAAAACACAGAUAGAGAGAAGGAGCUAGACUUUUACAGCCAAGACGCCAAGAAGCCACUCACAAUCCCAAGUAUCCCCUCAGAAGAUCGUACAGAGACAAGCCCACAAACAGAAAUGUCUUUUUUCUCCACUGAGGCAUCUGAGAAACAGGCUUUACUGCAUGACACUGAUGUUGCGUCUCUAGAGAGUGGAGAGGAAGUCCUGCAAACAAAGGCAAGACUGGACAUCUCUGACAUCAUCGAAGACGACGUCCCUACUAAUGAGAACACGAAGAAGGAGGAAGACUCCGUUCAAAUCCAAGAAUCCUCUACCCACCUCACAGGUCUCUCAGUAAGUCCUGAAGAGUGUAGCUCACAGAAUGAAAUGUUUGCAGUACUGCCAUCUUUUCCUGAGGAGACCACAACACAGACAUUGCUGGAUGACUCUGCUACCGGAUGCACAGAGAAAGGUAUGGAUGACCUGUGGACAGAGACCAGGCAAGGAUCAGAUAGGUCCCACACUGGUGGAGAGGACAUGGCUUGUUCUGUGGCUCCAUGUUCGUGGCCACCAACCGCAGAGACUAAAAUUAGGCUAGUUGGAGAGGACAGACCGACCCACAGCCUAGCCAGUCAAACUAGUCCUGAGGUGCUUGCUGACUAUGUGUCUUUUCCCAGCGUGACUUCUCAGGACUCCAAGUUUCCUGUGGUAGAGAGUCAGGGUUCUGCUGGAGCGAAAGGUGAAGCUGCGCCAUCACCUGCCCUCACAGGAAACGCCUCUGUGAUUACAGGUGUCACCGAGGUGAGCCAGAACGUAGCUCUUAAUUCUGUCCCGGUCAGAGAGGAGCAGGAAGACUCUCUCCAGGUUUCCCCUGCCGCGUUAUUAGAGAAUCUACCAAACACCUUGUCAGAGGUUGCCAACCCGUCAGGGCCCCCGUCUGAGCGUGCUGUGGGCGGGAAUCUGAUGCCAUCCAUCGUCUUCCUGAGCGCAGUCAUCCUUCUCUGUGUGCUGUUGCAGGAACACAAUGCCCUCUUCUUCAUCGGACUAUUUUUCAUCUUGUCUCUGUUUUAGAUUAUGUCAGAGUAGCUCCUUCUCCUAAACUGAUCUCUGUUCAGUCCAGUUAAGUGCCUCUUCAUGAUUCCAAAAUAAG
rnacentral:lncRNA from 1 species